rnacentral:rRNA from 1 species
GACGAACGCUGGCGGCGUGCCUAAUACAUGCAAGUAGAACGCUGAAGAGAGGAGCUUACUCUUCUUGGAUGAGUUGCGAACGGGUGAGUAACGCGUAGGUACCCUGCCUUGUAGCGGGGGAUAACUAUUGGAAACGAUAGCUAAUACCGCAUAACAAUGGAUGACACAUGUCCUUUAUUUGAAAGGGGCAAUUGCUCCACUACAAGAUGGACCUGCGUUGUAUUAGCUAGUAGGUGAGGUAAUGGCUCACCUAGGCGACGAUACAUAGCCGACCUGAGAGGGUGGUCGGCCACACUGGGACUGAGACACGGCCCAGACUCCUACGGGAGGCAGCAGGAGGGAAUCUUCGGCAAUGGGGGCAACCCUGACCGAGCAACGCCGCGUGAGUGAAGAAGGUUUUCGGAUCGUAAAGCUCUGUUGUAAGUCAAGAACGGGUGUGAGAGUGGAAAGUUCACACUGUGACGGUAGCUUACCAGAAAGGGACGGCUAACUACGUG